AGUGAACGCUGGCGGCAGGCCUAACACAUGCAAGUCGAACGGCAGCACAGUACUUGCUCGUGGAUACGGGGGGGGACGGGCGGAUGGGGCCGGGAAACAUGCGAGUCUACUGGGUCUUGGGGGCGAACGCAGGCGCACAUACGCUAUUAGCGCAUACGACGUACGGGGGAAAUCUGGGGACCUCACGCCCUCAGGUGAGCCUAUGUCCGGAUGUCGGAUUAGCUAGUUGGCGGGGUAAAGGCCCACCAAGGCGACGAUCCGUAGCUGGUCUGAGAGGAUGAUCAGCCACACUGGAACUGAGACACGGUCCAGACUCCUACGGGAGGCAGCAGUGGGGAAUAUUGGACAAUGGGCGAAAGCCUGAUCCAGCCAUGCCGCGUGGGUGAAGAAGGUCUUCGGAUUGUAAAGCCCUUUUGUUGGGAAAGAAAAGCAGCAGGUUAAUACCCCGCUGUUCUGACGGUACCCAAAGAAUAAGCACCGGCUAACUUCGUG
rnacentral:rRNA from 1 species